GACAAACGCUGGCGGCGUGCAUAAAACAUGCAAGUCGGACGAGCCAAUCCCCGCAAGGGGAAAGGCUAGUGGCGAACGGCUGAGUAACACGUAGGUGAUCUGCCCUGAAGUGGGGGAUAACGACUCGAAAGAGUCGCUAAUACCGCAUGUGACCACCGAUUCGUUUUCGGUGCUCAAAGUCGUAAGACGCUUUAGGAGGAGCCUGCGGCGGAUUAGCUAGUUGGUGAGGAAUGGCCCACCAAGGCUUCGAUCCGUAGCUGGUCUGAGAGGAUGGCCAGCCAGACUGGGACUGAGACACGGCCCAGACUCCUACGGGAGGCAGCAGUUAGGAAUUUUGCGCAAUGGGGGGAAACCCUGACGCAGCCACG
rnacentral:rRNA from 1 species